CCUACGGGCGGCAGCAGUGGGGAAUAUUGGGCAAUGGGCGCAAGCCUGACCCAGCAACGCCGCGUGAAGGAAGAAGGCUUUCGGGUUGUAAACUUCUUUUAAGAGGGAAGAGCAGAAGACGGUACCUCUUGAAUAAGCCACGGCUAACUACGUGCCAGCAGCCGCGGUAAUACGUAGGUGGCAAGCGUUGUCCGGAUUUACUGGGUGUAAAGGGCGUGCAGCCGGGAAGACAAGUCAGAUGUGAAAUCCCAAGGCUCAACCAUGGGACUGCUUUGGAAACUGUAAAACUGGAGUGCAGGAGAGGUAAGCGGAAUUCCUAGUGUAGCGGUGAAAUGCGUAGAUAUUAGGAGGAACACCAGUGGCGAAGGCGGCUUACUGGACUGUAACUGACGUUGAGGCUCGAAGGCGUGGGGAGCAAACAGGAUUAGAUACCCUAGUAGUC
rnacentral:rRNA from 1 species